rnacentral:rRNA from 1 species
GGUUAAGCGAAUAAGCGUACACGGUGGAUGCCUAGGCAAUCAGAGGCGAUGAAGGACGUGCUAAUCUGCGAAAAGCGUCGGUAAGGUGAUAUGAACCGUUAUACCCGACGAUAUCCGAAUGGGGAAACCCAGUAUCCAAUGGAUACUAUCAUUAACUGAAUCCAUAGGUUAAUGAGGCGAACCGGGAGAACUGAAACAUCUCAGUACCCCGAGGAAAAGAAAUCAACCGAGAUUCCCCUAGUAGCGGCGAGCGAACGGGGAGCAGCCCAGAGUCUUAAUCAAUAGCAGUGUCAGGAGAACGGUCUGGAAAGUCCGGCAGUAAAGGGUGAUAGCCCCGUAUCUGAAGAUGCUGUUAUUGUGAACUCGACGAGUAGGGCGGGACACGUGUUAUCCUGUCUGAAUAUGGGGGGACCAUCCUCCAAGGCUAAAUACUCCUGAUUGACCGAUAGUGAACCAGUACCGUGAGGGAAAGGCGAAAAGAACCCCGGCGAGGGGAGUGAAAAAGAACCUGAAACCGUGUACGUACAAGCAGUAGGAGCCUCUUUAUGGGGUGACUGCGUACCUUUUGUAUAAUGGGUCAGCGACUUAUAUUCUGUAGCGAGGUUAACCGUAUAGGGGAGCCGUAGGGAAACCGAGUCUUAACUGGGCGAAUGAGUUGCAGGGUAUAGACCCGAAACCCGGUGAUCUAUCCAUGGGCAGGUUGAAGGUUGGGUAACACUAACUGGAGGACCGAACCGACUAAUGUUGAAAAAUUAGCGGAUGACUUGUGGAUGGGGGUGAAAGGCCAAUCAAACCGGGAGAUAGCUGGUUCUCCCCGAAAGCUAUUUAGGUAGCGCCUCGUGAACUCAUCUUCGGGGGUAGAGCACUGUUUCGACUAGGGGGUCAUCCCGACUUACCAACUCGAUGCAAACUGCGAAUACCGAAGAAUGUUAUCACGGGAGACACACGGCGGGUGCUAACGUCCGUCGUGAAGAGGGAAACAACCCAGACCGCCAGCUAAGGUCCCAAAGUCAUGGUUAAGUGGGAAACGAAGUGGGAAGGCUCAGACAGCCAGGAUGUUGGCUUAGAAGCAGCCAUCAUUUAAAGAAAGCGUAAUAGCUCACUGGUCGAGUCGGCCCGCGCGGAAGAUGUAACGGGGCUAAACCAUGCACCGAAGCUGCGGCAGCGACACAUAGUGUUGUUGGGUAGGGGAGCGUUCUGUAAGCCUGCGAAGGUGUACUGUGAGGUAUGCUGGAGGUAUCAGAAGUGCGAAUGCUGACAUAAGUAACGAUAAUGCGGGUGAAAAACCCGCACGCCGGAAGACCAAGGGUUCCUGUCCAACGUUAAUCGGGGCAGGGUGAGUCGACCCCUAAGGCGAGGCUGAAAAGCGUAGUCGAUGGGAAACGGGUUAAUAUUCCCGUACUGGUGGUAACUGCGAUGGGGGAACGGAGAAGGCUAGGUUGUCCGGGCGACGGUCGUCCCGGUUCAAGCAGGUAGGCAGAGUGAUUAGGCAAAUCCGGUCACUUAAUGCUGAGAUGUGAUGACGAACCACCAAGGUGGUGAAGCAAUUGAUGCCCCGCUUCCAGGAAAAGCCUCUAAGCUUCAGGUUACCAACAAUCGUACCCCAAACCGACACAGGUGGUCAGGUAGAGAAUACUCAGGCGCUUGAGAGAACUCGGGUGAAGGAACUAGGCAAAAUGGUGCCGUAACUUCGGGAGAAGGCACGCUGGCGGUAGGUAAAGUCCCUUGCGGACGGCGCUGAAGCCAGUCGAAGAUACCAGCUGGCUGCAACUGUUUAUUAAAAACACAGCACUGUGCAAACACGAAAGUGGACGUAUACGGUGUGACGCCUGCCCGGUGCUGGAAGGUUAAUUGAUGGGGUUAGCGCAAGCGAAGCUCCUGAUCGAAGCCCCAGUAAACGGCGGCCGUAACUAUAACGGUCCUAAGGUAGCGAAAUUCCUUGUCGGGUAAGUUCCGACCUGCACGAAUGGCGUAAUGAUGGCCAGGCUGUCUCCACCCGAGACUCAGUGAAAUUGAACUCGCUGUGAAGAUGCAGUGUACCCGCGGCAAGACGGAAAGACCCCGUGAACCUUUACUAUAGCUUGACACUGAACAUUGAGCCUUGAUGUGUAGGAUAGGUGGGAGGCUUUGAAGUGUGGACGCCAGUCUGCAUGGAGCCAACCUUGAAAUACCACCCUUUAACGUUUGAUGUUCUAACCUAGGCCCAUAAACUGGGUCGGGGACCGUGUCUGGUGGGUAGUUUGACUGGGGCGGUCUCCUCCUAAAGAGUAACGGAGGAGCACGAAGGUUGGCUAAGCAUGGUCGGACAUCAUGCGGUUAGUGCAAAGGCAUAAGCCAGCUUGACUGCGAGAGUGACGGCUCGAGCAGGUACGAAAGUAGGUCUUAGUGAUCCGGUGGUUCUGAAUGGAAGGGCCAUCGCUCAACGGAUAAAAGGUACUCCGGGGAUAACAGGCUGAUACCGCCCAAGAGUUCAUAUCGACGGCGGUGUUUGGCACCUCGAUGUCGGCUCAUCACAUCCUGGGGCUGAAGUAGGUCCCAAGGGUAUGGCUGUUCGCCAUUUAAAGUGGUACGCGAGCUGGGUUUAGAACGUCGUGAGACAGUUCGGUCCCUAUCUGCCGUGGGCGUUGGAAGAUUGAGAGGGGUUGCUCCUAGUACGAGAGGACCGGAGUGAACGCACCACUGGUGUUCGGGUUGUCAUGCCAAUGGCAUUGCCCGGUAGCUAAGUGCGGAAGAGAUAACCGCUGAAAGCAUCUAAGCGGGAAACUUGCCUCGAGAUGAGUCUUCCCUGUCGCUUUAAGCGACCUAAAGGAACGUUUAAGACUAAGACGUUGAUAGGCUGGGUGUGUAAGCGUAGCGAUACGUUGAGCUAACCAGUACUAAUGAACCGUGAGGCUUAACCUG